UACGGGGGGGGCAAGCGUUGUUCGGAAUUACUGGGCGUAAAGGGCGCGUAGGCGGCCUUCUAAGUCGGACGUGAAAUCCCUCGGCUUAACCGAGGAACUGCGUCCGAGACUGAAAGGCUUGAAUCCGGGAGAGGGAUGUGGAAUUCCAGGUGUAGCGGUGAAAUGCGUAGAUAUCAGGAGGAACACCGGUGGCGAAAGCGCUCAUCUGGCCCAAUACUGACGCUGAGGCGCGAAAGCUAGGGGAGCAAACGGG
rnacentral:rRNA from 1 species